AGGACGAACGCUGGCGGCGUGCUUAACACAUGCAAGUCGAACGGGAUUUAGUAGACAGAAGCUUCGGCGGAAGAUUACUAAUGAGAGUGGCGAACGGGUGAGUAACGCGUGAGCAACCUGCCUAUGACAGUGGGAUAGCCUCGGGAAACCGGGAUUAAUACCGCAUAAAAUCGUAGAAACACAUGUUUUAACGGUCAAAGAUUUAUCGGUCAUAGAUGGGCUCGCGUCUGAUUAGCUAGUUGGUGAGAUAACAGCCCACCAAGGCGACGAUCAGUAGCCGGUCUGAGAGGAUGAACGGCCACAUUGGAACUGAGACACGGUCCAAACUCCUA
rnacentral:rRNA from 1 species